ensembl:lncRNA
CGGGGAGGGGCGGGGUGGCGCCUCCGUUCACCUUGCUUGCAUCCGCUGAAGGGAGCUCCUGGCCCGCAGGGGGCGAGGGCGGGGGCGGGCCCUAAGAAGGCGCCCCUCGGCCCCUAGGCCUUCCACAGGCCCCCUCCCCCCAGCCCCCAGCUCUCAUCAGCCCGCGCCUUCUCUACAACUUUCUCCCCUCACCCUUCACAAUUUUCGCUCACCUGGAGGGUCUGGUUUUAAUUAGUGUAAUAUCCCCGUUAACAACGCAGCCUAAUUAAGACAUCCGCCCCGAGUCCGCGAUUCACACUUAAUGAGCACGCUCUGCCGCAAUGUUUACACUCUUUUUUUCAUUAUUUUUUGCAGACUAGUAAAACCAAAGCCAGCUUCUGGCUAAAAGACUUCAUUACAGACGACCCCACUCCAUGAGCCCCGUACCUGCUCCAUGCUAAGUGCCCUGGGCUCCCCAGCCAAGUCGGCGUUAGAGGCAGGAAAUUAACGACCCGGCGAGCACGAGCGAGAGAAGCGACUUCAUCUCCAGCUGCGGAAGGAGGGGACUCUCCCAGGGACGGAUCCCUCCGCCCCAGCCCUCGGCCUGCACCGCCCGGAGCAGAAGUGGGCAGCUCGGUCAUCCAGGAGUUUCGACCCACCUCGCUGGCCCCCAGCCCAGCCCAGCCCAGCCCAGCCAGCGGACUCCAGGAACAUCCCGCCCACACUCCCCGUGAGACCCUGGGUUCCCGGGCCCCUCAGGACGCUGGUCGCCGCGUCUCAAGUCCUCGCACGGCCUGGGUGCGGGCCCCGGUUGGCCAGGCGCUGCGGGGCCGCGCGCCAGGGGAGGCUCCGCGCCUCGGUGUAAGGGAAUGGAGUAAUCCCGCCGACUCCAAACCCAGCCAUAGUGGUUGUCCAGAUUGGCCAAUCGGACCACCUUCAACAUUUCCACCCAGGUGAAAAUCCCCAGGUACUGGAGAGCAGAAGAAAGGCAACAGUAAUCAGCUGUAGGCUUCAGAAAAGUCAAGGCAGGAGGGCACAGCCCAUGGAAAUGGCAAGCAAAAACUUCGAAGGCUCAGAACCAGCAGUCCAGCACCGACACUCUGACCUUCACCCUCUGUGUCAGCACCCAGGGGAGUCUUCCAGAGGAAACUGACGCUCACCAAGAGGAAAUGUAAAGAGACAGCUUUGCCAUUCCUCAGCCAAGACCCCAGUCAGUCUCUCCAGAGGGAAGCCCCAGCACAAGCCCACCCAGCCCCAAGCUGCCUCCCUCGAGCUCAUUUGAGCCCUUCAGACAACCCUGAAGAGAAAACCCAACAAGACAACCACCAGGGUAGGGGCAGGUGAGGGGGGAUCUUUGAAGAAACAGACUUAGGCAAGGAGGAGAAAAUAUCAGAAAUAGCCGUAUUUAAUAUCCUCGAAGAGAUCAGAGGAGAUAUUGCAUCCCAGAACCAAGAGCAGGAUGCUAUUUUAAGGAGAACAUUUAGAGAACAAAAAGGGCUGGGAAAUUAAAAGCAUGAGAGCCGAAACAAAAAAAAAAAAAACUCAACAGACUGGUUGGAAGAUAAAAGUAAGCGAAUGUCCCAGAAGGCACAGCAAAAAGACAAAGAGGAAAAAAGAAAGAAAGGAGGAAAAAUUAGAUGCCACAUUCAAACUACACAAAAGAAUUCUGGGGCGGCGGGCUGGGGGUGAAUGAGAAUCACAAACUAUUUAAUUCAAGAAAUGUUCCCAGAAAUGAGAAUGAGUUUUCAAAUUCUACACACAAUGGAUGGAAAUUGACCCACAUCAAGGCAUAUUAUAAUAGAAAAUAGAGAAAGUUCCCUCAGGUUUCCAAGCACUAUGAAAAAGAGCAAGGGUGAGAGUGACUCCUGAAUUUUCAACAGCAACAGCAGGGCAAGCUAACAAACAACACAGUAUGCCUUCAAAACGCCAACAGAUAGUGAUUUCUGGCCUAGAAUCUUUUACUUAAUCAAAACGACAAUAAAAUGUGAAUUAAAAUAAAGACGUUUGAAUAGGC